rnacentral:rRNA from 1 species
UACGAAGGGGGCUAGCGUUGUUCGGAUUUACUGGGCGUAAAGCGCACGUAGGCGGAUAUUUAAGUCAGGGGUGAAAUCCUGGAGCUCAACUCCAGAACUGCCUUUGAUACUGGGUAUCUAGAGUCCGGAAGAGGUGAGUGGAACUCCUAGUGUAGAGGUGGAAUUCGUAGAUAUUAGGAAGAACACCAGUGGCGAAGGCGGCUCACUGGUCCGGUACUGACGCUGAGGUGCGAAAGCGUGGGGAGCAAACAGGG